rnacentral:rRNA from 1 species
AAGUCCCGUAACGAGCGCAACCCCUGUCCCUAUUUGCCAGCGAUUCGGUCGGGAACUCUAGGGAGACUGCCGGUGACAAACCGGAGGAAGGUGGGGACGACGUCAAGUCAUCAUGGCCCUUACGGGUAGGGCUACACACGUGCUACAAUGGCAGGUACAAAGGGUUGCAAGACGGCGACGUGGAGCUAAUCCCAUAAAGCCUGCCUCAGUCCGGAUCGGAGUCUGCAACUCGACUCCGUGAAGUCGGAAUCGCUAGUAAUCGUGAAUCAGAAUGUCACGGUGAAUACGUUCCCGGGCCUU